GGAGACAUAGCUCAGCUGGUUAGAGCAUUCGCUUGACGUGCGAAAGGUCUAGAGUUCGAAUCUCUCUGUCUCCACCA
rnacentral:tRNA from 1 species